rnacentral:rRNA from 1 species
UACGGGGGGGGCAAGCGUUGUUCGGAAUUACUGGGCGUAAAGGGCGCGUAGGCGGUUUGUUAAGUUGGAUGUGAAAACUCUGGGCUUAACCCAGAGCCUGCAUCCAAAACUAGCAGGCUAGAGUUCUGGAGGGGAUAGGCGGAAUUCCUGGUGUAGCGGUGAAAUGCGUAGAUAUCUGGAGGAACACCGGUGGCGAAGGCGGCGUUCUGGACUGCAACUGACACUGAGGAACGAAAGCCAGGGGAGCAAACGGG